rnacentral:tRNA from 1 species
GGGAGCGUGGCGGAAUUGGCAUACGCGCCAGAUUCAAAAUCUGGUUUUCUGUGGGUUCGAGUCCCUCUGCUCCUA